rnacentral:rRNA from 1 species
UACGAAGGGGGCUAGCGUUGUUCGGAAUUACUGGGCGUAAAGCGCGCGCAGGCGGUUCUUCAAGUCAGAGGUGAAAGCCCAGAGCUCAACUCUGGAAUGGCCUUUGAGACUAGAGAACUAGGGUACGGGAGAGGUGAGUGGAAUUCCGAGUGUAGAGGUGAAAUUCGUAGAUAUUCGGAAGAACACCAGUGGCGAAGGCGGCUACCUGGACCGGUUCUGACGCUGAUGCGCGAAAGCGUGGGUAGCAAACAGG